rnacentral:rRNA from 1 species
GAGACAGCAGCAGCCGCGGGAAUACGGAGGGGGCUAGCGUUGUUCGGAAUUACUGGGCGUAAAGCGCACGUAGGCGGCUUUGUAAGUUAGGGGUGAAAGCCUGGAGCUCAACUCCAGAAUUGCCUUUAAGACUGCAUCGCUUGAAUCCGAGAGAGGUAAGUGGAAUUCCGAGUGUAGAGGUGAAAUUCGUAGAUAUUCGGAAGAACACCAGUGGCGAAGGCGGCUUACUGGCUCAUACUGGACGCUGAGGUGCGAAAGCGUGGGGAGCAAACAGGAUUAGAUACCCCGGUAGUCCCUGUCUCUUAUAC